UUGCGUUUUACAGUAGCACUUCUUUUGCCCUUUUCAUGUUUUUUUCUUCAUUUAUUUUUUUCUUUUUAGAAACAGAAACACAAAAGAAAAAUGAAAAAGUUGAAGACAGAAUUUUUACAAGCAAAACAAGAAACUUCAAUAAUGGCAUUUGAAAUGAGAGAAAAGAUUCAAACUCUGCAAGAACACAGACAUUUCACUAGAGCUAUGGAAGAUUCUUGUGAAAAGCUAAUUGAACAACACAGUGGAGAUGACGGCAGAGUUCACCUUAUUCUUGAACUGUCAAACCAGGUGUCUCAGCAACAGGAAAAAAUAGAGUGCUUGCAAGCAGCCAUGAAGCAGAAAGACAUGCAUCUGAGGAAACUUGAGGGCCAACAGCUCAAUUUUAUUGCUGAUUCAGGACUAUUGCAAAAAUCCAUCAUAUCUGUUGUUCCACCAAUCAGCAGCCAGAAAGAGCAAAGUUACAAUCCAGAACAUACAUCUAGCACACCCAGGAUUGUGUGCACCUGUCCCAGUCAUGAAAAUCCCUUAGAAAUAAAAAGUCCUCCCUGUGAUAAAACAUUACAGUACACAUGUACCUUUGGAUGGAACCAAGUUCCAGCACUCGGCUCAGAGGAAGCUUAUAACACUGAACUGAAGAAAACUGCAGUUGAUAUUGCGGCUCCAGAGAAAGACCACAGAAUUUCAUCAGGAAGUUCAACAGAGAGUGGGGUUUCUAUGUCUUAAAAAAACACUAUAGGUAUGUGAUGAACUCUGUUUUCAAAGUUUAAACAUUUACAGAUGGACAGCAUAAAUAAAACAUUUUGUAUGACAUUUUAUGUUUAAUUUGAUUGUUCCAAUGCUUUGAUUUUCUAAAAUUAUUUUUGGAAUAAUUAACAUUAUGAAACUUUAUGUUCACUAUCAAAAAGCUAAGUUCCCUAAAAAUGACCUCUCUUCCUACUUGCUUUCUUUCCUUUCUUUACUUCCUGCAUGCUGAGGAAAGGAGUAUGUGGAAACACAAGUCCAUUUCGAAUAAGGAAGGAUUCUCAGAAAACGAAUCCCAUGUUGCCUUUUAUGAAAAGAAGACUCAUUUGAUCAGAUUUCCUGUUGUUUUUAACAGGAAAGUAUGUCAGUAGUCUAUAGUAACGUGUAUACAAAGAAAGUACAGUAGGGUCUCAACAACUGAAAAUGUUACAUUCGCAAAUUGCAUAUUCGCGAUUCAAAGACCAAAGUGGGAUGAAACCCAGCCGAAAGAUUGUUGAGCAACUUAAAAAUUAACUGCACCAAAAGAAUUCUAUCUGGAGAUGAAUCUAGCUGUUGAGAGAGCCUCUCCCUGCCCCCUGCCCAACUACUGAGAAGCUGGAUCUCAGCGUGGUCUUGUAUUUGUAUUGUAACGAACACUCCAGUUUUUGUGCUGGCUGCAAGUGGAAGUGUUUGUGUGAAAACCGGCUGCCACACAGUUUACACUAUGAAACCAUUACACACUGUGAACUUAGCAGCAUCUUCAGAGCUGCUGCUGCUGCAUACAGACCACAACACAGACCUGUUCUCUCUUACUUCAGUCUGGUCACUGUUACUGGUGUACCUCCACAGCAGUUAGGCAGACAUAUAAACACGCAAACCGCUACCUCUUUCACUCUACCUGAGCCAGAUCUUCUGCCUUACUCUGCCUGUGCUACUGUAGGUCUACUGCACACUGCACUACAUAUUGCACAGGAGAUACAGUCCUGCUUCCUCUCAGUCCUGAAGUUAACUAGGGGUGUACACCAUGGUUUGCUCUGCUAUCAGGGAAGUAUCCAGUAUGCAGUUAUAGGACCGCCCAUAACUGGACCUCAUCAGAUCACAUAUCUUCUGCAGCUGAAGUUGCUUAGAGACACUUGCUUUUCCAGGAGAAGCUCUGUCCCUCAGCAUUCCCAUUUCUCAUGCAGCAUUACACUCCCUUCCCCAAGUACGAAGCGUCUCGUGGGAUAACCACACUUGUAAUGGUGCCUACAGCUGUAAUUAAUUCAAUCUCUAAUUUCUUACAGCUGUAGAUGCUGUAAAAAUAAUACAUACAGUAUAUAUAUUUUUUUUUUGCUGAGAAACCUCAUCCCUCACCAUUCCUGCUUCAGGUGGCAUUACAUUAUGUGUCUGAAAUUAUAUAUAGUAUUUAGGAUGCUCACGAUUUUACAGGUCUUUCAUUCAAAAUAUC
ensembl:lincRNA